rnacentral:rRNA from 1 species
UACACGACCGUACCGCAAACCGACACUGGUGCGCGAGAUGAGUAUUCUAAGGCGCUUGAGAGAACUCAGGAGAAGGAACUCGGCAAAUUGACACCGUAACUUCGGAAGAAGGUGUGCCUUUAGUAGGUGAACCAUUUACUUGGGGAGCCCAAUGAGGCUGCAAAAAAUCGGUGGCUGCAACUGUUUAUUAAAAACACAGCACUCUGCUAAGACGAAAGUCGACGUAUAGGGUGUGACGCCUGCCCGGUGCUGGAAGAUUAAAUGAUGGGGUGCAAGCUCUUGAUUGAAGUCCCAGUAAACGGCGGCCGUAACAAUAACGGUCCUAAGGUAGCGAAAUUCCUUGUCGGGUAAGUUCCGACCUGCACGAAUGGCGUAAUGAUGGCCACACUGUCUCCUCCUGAGACUCAGCGAAGUUGAAAUGUUUGUGAUGAUGCAAUCUCCCCGCGGAAAGACGGAAAGACCCCAUGAACCUUUACUGUAGCUUUGUAUUGGACUUUGAACAGAUCUGUGUAGGAUAGGUGGGAGGCUUUGAAGUGUGGUCGCUAGAUCGCAUGGAGCCAACGUUGAAAUAUCACCCUGGUGUGUUUGAGGUUCUAACCUAGGUCCAUUAUCUGGAUCGGGGACAGUGCAUGGUAGGCAGUUUGACUGGGGCGGUCUCCUCCCAAAGUGUAACGGAGGAGUUCGAAGGUACGCUAGGUACGGUCGGACAUCGUGCUAAUAGUGCAAUGGCAUAAGCGUGCUUAACUGUGAGACCGACAAGUCGAGCAGAUGCGAAAGCAGGACAUAGUGAUCCGGUGGUUCUGUAUGGAAGGGCCAUCGCUCAACGGAUAAAAGGUACUCUGGGGAUAACAGGCUGAUACCGCCCAAGAGUUCAUAUCGACGGCGGUGUUUGGCACCUCGAUGUCGGCUCAUCUCAUCCUGGGGCUGUAGCCGGUCCCAAGGGUAUGGCUGUUCGCCAUUUAAAGAGGUACGUGAGCUGGGUUUAAAACGUCGUGAGACAGUUUGGUCCCUAUCUUCCGUGGGCGCUGCAGAUUUGAGGAAGCCUGCUCCUAGUACGAGAGGACCGGAGUGGACGAACCUCUGGUGUAUCGGUUGUCACGCCAGUGGCAUUGCCGAGUAGCUAAGUUCGGAAGAGAUAACCGCUGAAAGCAUCUAAGCGGGAAACUCGUUUCAAGAUUAGAUCUGCCGGGGCCUUGAGCCCCCUAAAGAGUCGUUCAAGACCAGGACGUUGAUAGGUCAGGUGUGGAAGCAG